rnacentral:rRNA from 1 species
AUUGAACGCUGGCGGCAUGCCUUACACAUGCAAGUCGAACGGAAACGGGCCUUCGGGUGCCGACGAGUGGCGAACGGGUGAGUAAUACAUCGGAACGUGCCCGAUCGUGGGGGAUAACGAGGCGAAAGCUUUGCUAAUACCGCAUACGAUCUACGGAUGAAAGCAGGGGACCGCAAGGCCUUGCGCGGACGGAGCGGCCGAUGGCAGAUUAGGUAGUUGGUGGGAUAAAAGCUUACCAAGCCGACGAUCUGUAGCUGGUCUGAGAGGAUGAUCAGCCACACUGGGACUGAGACACGGCCCAGACUCCUACGGGAGGCAGCAGUGGGGAAUUUUGGACAAUGGGCGCAAGCCUGAUCCAGCCAUGCCGCGUGCAGGAUGAAGGCCUUCGGGUUGUAAACUGCUUUUGUACGGAACGAAAAGCCUUCUUUUAAUACAGGAGGGUCAUGACGGUACCGUAAGAAUAAGCACCGGCUAACUACGUG